UACGUAGGGUGCGAGCGUUAAUCGGAAUUACUGGGCGCAAAGCGUGCGCAGGCGGUCUGUUAAGACCGAUGUGAAAUCCCCGGGCUUAACCUGGGAACUGCAUUGGUGACUGGCAGGCUUUGAGUGUGGCAGAGGGAGGUAGAAUUCCACGUGUAGCAGUGAAAUGCGUAGAGAUGUGGAGGAAUACCGAUGGCGAAGGCAGCCUCCUGGGCCAACACUGACGCUCAUGCACGAAAGCGUGGGGAGCAAACAGG
rnacentral:rRNA from 1 species